rnacentral:rRNA from 1 species
UACGGGGGGAGCAAGCGUUGUUCGGAAUCACUGGGCGUAAAGGGCGUGUAGGCGGCUGGAUAAGUGGGAUGUUAAAUCCCCCGGCUCAACCGGGGACCUGCAUCUCAUACUGUUCAGCUCGAGCACAUCAGAGGAGACUGGAAUUCCCGGUGUAGCGGUGAAAUGCGUAGAUAUCUGGAGGAAUACCGGUGGCGAAGGCGGCAUCCUGGACCGACAUUGACGCUGAGGCGCGAAAGCUAGGGGAGCAAACGGG